UACGGGGGUGGCAAGCGUUGUUCGGAAUUAUUGGGCGUAAAGGGCGCGUAGGCGGCCUGGCAAGUGGAAGGUGAAAUCCCUCGGCUUAACCGAGGAACUGCCCUCCAAACUGCUUGGCUUGAGUCCGGGAGAGGUGAGUGGAAUUCCCAGUGUAGCGGUGAAAUGCGUAGAUAUUGGGAGGAACACCAGUGGCGAAGGCGGCUCACUGGACCGGAACUGACGCUGAGGAGCGAAAGCGUGGGGAGCAAACAGG
rnacentral:rRNA from 1 species